CCACCUGUUGGCAGUAUUUAUCGUAAUACAAGUAUAUAAAUGCUUUCAUCCACUAGAUUCAAGAAUAUUAUUCGAAGAUAUACUAAAAUGCGCCCUCUGUGCAGUUUGCAUUAGAAAAUAUCUCUUUCGAUCCCCUUCAGUCUCAUUUAGGUGAUAGGACUGAUCGGUCUACGGAAGUUUUGAUUGUGUUAUAAGUGUUAGAUACUGAAUACAUACUGCAAAAAGCAAAAUUUAAUUAGGAAUUAGGGAUACAUGGAGUGUCUGAUUGGAACAUUUCAAGAAUAUGGAAAUUGUUCAUGAACAAUUGGGAGUUACGUUAUCAUUUGCUGAUGAAAAUGCAAAUCAAUAGAUAUCUAUAGAUAUGAGUGAGAUACAAUCUUGGAAUAAUUCUUCAGGACCAGAUCUCAAGUGAUAUUGGACAAAUCAUUCAAGAACAGAAAAAUAGAGCAACACAGAGGAAUCAAACUCCCAAGCCCAACUUGUUUUUGGUAUCAGGGGGAAAAUCUAUUAUAGCCAAAAAGUUUCCAAAUUGUUGUAUAGAUGUAGAUAAACUUUUACGAAUGUAUAUCGAAUUCUCUCCACCUAAAUAAUUUAUUCUUUAGGAGAUAACUAUAUUCUUUUAAUCCUUUGUAGUACAAUGUUUUAUCCUGUAUUUGUAUAAAUGUAAUACAAUUUUUUUCCAAUGUA